rnacentral:lncRNA from 1 species
UUUCAAAAGCAGUACAAACAAAAGCGGGAAGAAAAGGAUAAGUGAACAAUCUUCCAAAAACAUCCAUUUUGCAUGCAUUUUUUUGCUAAUUGUUCUGCCACUCCAUUAGCUUCUCUAAAUACAUGUUUUAGUGGUGGAUCACUCGUGCUCCUCAAUAGGGGCCUGCAAUCAUAUCAAUCAAGUUUUGAUAGAAACAAUCAUUGAUAGCCAACAAAUUAAUAAGUUCUUGACAGUCAGUUUCAAUUACUAACAGCAUCAAGCCUCUUUCAAUAGCUAGUUUAACCCCGUGAAGCAGUACCAGCAUGUAUAUAUUUGUCGUGUGUUUUACACUCAUGUUAAAACCCAGGAUCCAUGGGUUGUUGUUAUCCCUAAAUACUCCCCCUAUACCCCGUUUCUUGGAUUACCAAUGCAAGCCCCGUCUAUGUUAAGUUUAUAGAAACCGGUAUGUGGUGGUUCCCACUUAAUAAGAAUGGUGUUCCUUCUAGGAUUUUUGGCUAGCUUAUUAGUUGCAAACACGAAUUCUAUUGCCCUACUCACUGGAACAUUGACAUUAGGGUUUGGGGGGGGGGGGGGGGGAUUUAUUAUCCUUGAAAACAAUAUCAUUUCUGGUGGUCUAUAUAUGCUAUAGUAGGAAGGGAAGUAAUUAUGACCUACAUCGGAAAUAACAUCAAAUGUGGAGACGUCAUACAAACCUGGAAAAACAUUUAAGACGCGUCAGCAACAAAGCCUAGUUGACAUAGUUGUUGUAGGGCUUUCUAGACUUCAAUUGAUCUCUAAGCCAGUUAUUUACACAUGGUAUCAUUUGUAUA